rnacentral:rRNA from 1 species
GGCCAUACCACCCUGAACGCGCCCGAUCUCGUCUGAUCUCGGAAGCUAAGCAGGGUCUGGCCUGGUUAGUACUUGGAUGGGAAAAAUCUUUUAAAAAAUAUUAUUUCCUCCUAUUAUUUGAAUACCUGUAUC